CUCAUGGUCAUGACACCAACAACUGUUUCCAGUUGAUUGCAGAAAUUGAGAGGUUGAUCAAGAGAGGGCACCUAAAGAACUUUGUAAAGAAAUCGGAAGGACAGAGACCUCAACCCAAUCCGACAGCUCAAACGCCGAGAAGAACAGGAGCUAACACUGUGAAUGAUGGGUCCAGUGGAACUAUCAACAUGAUCGUAGGAGGCACGGGAGGUCGGAUGAGCCGAAGGGGG
rnacentral:lncRNA from 1 species